rnacentral:rRNA from 1 species
CAUGUGUAAGUAUAAAUAUUUGACUUUGAAACUGCGAAUGGCUCAUUAUAUCAGUUAUAGUUUAUUUGAUGAAAAGUACUACUUGGAUAACCGUAGUAAUUCUAGAGCUAAUACAUGACAAAAUCCUCGACUUUGAAGAGGUGUAUUUAUUAGAAUGAAACCAAGAGACUUCGGUCUAUUUGUGAGUAAUAAUAACUAAUCGUAUCGCAUGCUUAGGUAGCGAUAUGUCUUUCAAGUUUCUGCCCUAUCAGCUUUGGAUGGUAGUGUAUUGGACUACCAUGGCAGUAACGGGUAACGAAGAAUUUGGGUUCGAUUUCGGAGAGGGAGCCUGAGAGAUGGCUACCACAUCCAAGGAAGGCAGCAGGCGCGUAAAUUACCCAAUCCUGACAUAGGGAGGUAGUGACAAUAAAUCACAAUGCGGAACUAUUAGUUUUGCAAUUGGAUUGAGAACAAUGUACAAAUGUUAUCGAUAAACAAUUGGAGGGCAAGUCUGGUGCCAGCAGCCGCGGUAAUUCCAGCUCCAAUAGCGUAUAUUAACGUUGUU